rnacentral:rRNA from 2 species
UUAUCGGAGAGUUUGAUCCUGGCUCAGGACGAACGCUGGCGGCGUGCCUAAUACAUGCAAGUCGAGCGGACAGAUGGGAGCUUGCUCCCUGAUGUUAGCGGCGGACGGGUGAGUAACACGUGGGUAACCUGCCUGUAAGACUGGGAUAACUCCGGGAAACCGGGGCUAAUACCGGAUGGUUGUCUGGACCGCAUGGUUCAGACAUAAAAGGUGGCUUCGGCUACCACUUACAGAUGGACCCGCGGCGCAUUAGCUAGUUGGUGAGGUAACGGCUCACCAAGGCGACGAUGCGUAGCCGACCUGAGAGGGUGAUCGGCCACACUGGGACUGAGACACGGCCCAGACUCCUACGGGAGGCAGCAGUAGGGAAUCUUCCGCAAUGGACGAAAGUCUGACGGAGCAACGCCGCGUGAGUGAUGAAGGUUUUCGGAUCGUAAAGCUCUGUUGUUAGGGAAGAACAAGUGCCGUUCAAAUAGGGCGGCACCUUGACGGUACCUAACCAGAAAGCCACGGCUAACUACGUGCCAGCAGCCGCGGUAAUACGUAGGUGGCAAGCGUUGUCCGGAAUUAUUGGGCGUAAAGGGCUCGCAGGCGGUUUCUUAAGUCUGAUGUGAAAGCCCCCGGCUCAACCGGGGAGGGUCAUUGGAAACUGGGGAACUUGAGUGCAGAAGAGGAGAGUGGAAUUCCACGUGUAGCGGUGAAAUGCGUAGAGAUGUGGAGGAACACCAGUGGCGAAGGCGACUCUCUGGUCUGUAACUGACGCUGAGGAGCGAAAGCGUGGGGAGCGAACAGGAUUAGAUACCCUGGUAGUCCACGCCGUAAACGAUGAGUGCUAAGUGUUAGGGGGUUUCCGCCCCUUAGUGCUGCAGCUAACGCAUUAAGCACUCCGCCUGGGGAGUACGGUCGCAAG